rnacentral:rRNA from 1 species
UGGCAUCUAUUUUAUAAUACAAAGUUCCGACGGUCGAGGGAUGAGCAUGCGGCCCAUUAGCUUGUUGGUGAGGUAACGGCUCACAAGGCUACGAGUGGGGUAGGGGGUCUGAGAGGAUGACUCCCCCACACGUGGUACUGAGACACGGACCAGACUCCUACGGGAGGCAGCAGUAGGGAAUAUUGGGCAAUGGACGAAAGUCUGACCCAGCCAUGCCGCGUGCAGGAUGACUGCCCUAUGGGUUGUAAACUGCUUUUCUACGGGAAGAAACACUCAUACGUGUGUGAGCUUGACGGUACCGUAGGAAUAAGGAUCGGCUAACUCCGUG